UUUACUGCCAUGAGUCCACACCUCCAAACCCAAUUGGCCAAACAAAAAAUCCAGUUCCAGUACAACCCUCCUAAUGCCCCACAUUUUGGAGGAACGUGGGAGCGGGAAAUACGCUCAGUCAAAGCCGCUCUGCGUAGUACAAUAGGAUCCCAAACACUAACAGAGGAAGUCCUAAGAACACUUCUCAUAGAGGUUGAGUCUAUACUCAAUGCAAAGCCACUAGGAUAUGUCUCUUCUGAUGUGGGAGAUCCAGAUCCAGUAACCCCUAACUACCUUUUAAUGGGGCGGCCAGAUUCAUCACUACCCCAAGUGGUGUACCCCGAAUCUGAAAUACUUAGUCGGAAAAGAUGGCGACACUCACAAGUAUUGGCAGAUCGAUUCUGGGCAAGUUUCAUCAGAAAUUACCUCCCCACUCUGCAGACACGUCAGAAAUGGAUGAAAGACUCAGAAAACCUCACUCCUGGAACUAUUGUGAUGAUAGUGGAUCACCACCUUCCUCGGGCUCAGUGGCCUGUUGGGAAAGUAAUAAAUACCUACCCUGGAUCGGAUGGUCGCGUCCGCUCAGUAGAGAUCCAGGUGAAAAACAAAAACUACCACCGACCAGUGGCUCGUCUUAUCAAACUACCAGACAUCCCUGAGGAUAACCAAAAGACGGACUAAAUAAGGAAUAGUGGAAGUACAUUUGCACAGCAAAUGUAGGGGCGGCUGUAGAAAAGGUAGAAUUAUAGCAGCCUCUGCUGGACACUUGUUCUCCGGGUAUCAGACACACUCAGAUAGAGGCACCGCUCACGUGCUGGUCACGGAAAUUUCCACAGCGAUCAUGCAUCAGUCGCGUGAGCGAGCGGCCAAUCAGAGCGCAGUAUCAAUCUGAUGAUGCUGAGGAGAACUUUAGUUUCGUAAGAUGUAAAGUGUUUAUUGUGUGUCCUAAGUUCAUCCAGUGUUGUGUGCGUCUGUAACUAAAAAAAAGCAGAUGCCUCAAGCAGAUUCCAGCAGCUGUGAAAGUGAAUACGUGGAGAGGGCCGUGUUUUAUUUCCUGUGGGGUCCAAAUGGGAACGUCUAAAGAGAGAGGUCGUAUAGAAAAGACCAGAAAAUGGUGGGAUAGGCCUCCCAGACCCACGACUGUUUCUAACGAGACGAUUUACUGCCCUGCACAUUAGUUACGCAGUGACCCCAUCCAACGGAAACAAGACGACAGCUAUGGUCAGAUAUUGGAUGGGGUCCUACCUAAGAUUUUUAACAAUUCUACCAGUUGAUUUAAAAACUACAGUAUCUUUUAAUUUGCCUCAAGAGUACAGUUUUAUCAAGACAUUUUUAAAGAAAUACAUGUUAGAAAACAAGAUGUUAAUGUUUUAACUAAUCACAAAUCUUUGAUCUCUCUUGUACAGGACCGGGAAACAGUGAGCCCAGUUCCAGGCCUCACAUUAGGUGAGGCCCAGCAAGUGUGGAGGAACGCUGCCCACCCCGCUCUUCAGAACAGACACAAAGAUUUGGCGUGGUUGGUCGCCCAUGAUAACUUCCCAGUCAGGGCGGUAAUGCACUCCCGGGGUAUGGCGAGGAACCCAGUCUGCCCACAGACUGGGUGCAACCUUCCAGAGACCGUACGACAUCUGCUUUGGGAGUGCGGUAAUGCGAGGGACCUGGGGUCCAGAUGGAUUUCAAGCUCGCAGUCCAGGGGGUGGGUCGGGGCUUGAAGGAUUUGUCUGCCCAACAAUUCUCCUCGCUCUGGCUCACCCUAAGCGCCAUUAAGGACGCCAUCUGGACUGCCAGGAACCUGCUGGUGGGGAAACGUGUUACGGUGCCUCUCCACGCACGCGAGCGGAUGGUUAGAUCUAUGCUGCAGGGGCACCGGACAUAAUAAUUCGGAUGAAGGGGCCGGGGUCGCACAGGGAGGUCCCAGCUUGCCACCGUGCCUGGCUGCCCGUAGAUGCACCCAGACAACCAUCGGCUACGGGAACAGUGGGCCAGCAGGCCGGAGGGUGGGGAUCUCCGCUGGGCACCAAAGGAAUAAAACGUUUGUUCUGUAGAGUGGGGUGACGGCCAUGUUGGUAAGGGCUCACCCCCGGCCCUGGACAAUUGAGGACAUUUUUUAAUUGUUUUAGGUUGUUGUGUUUUACCUAGAUAGCCACUUUAUUUUAUGUAUUUCUUAAACCCAUCGGCUUUUAUUAUUUCUCUUAAUACCCAGAAAAGAUUUUAUUGUCAUAUUUCUUUAAAAAGUCUUAAAUACUAUUUAUUGUCUGACAUUUUAAAGAUAUUUUAUUGAUAUAAAUGACAGCUAUACAAGUGUUUUCAUACAAAUAAGCCAUGUGUGUUUGUAAAAAAAGAUGUGGUGUAAAUAAAACUUUUCGAAAGAAAGAAAAAAAAGCUGUUCUUAUCAGGAGAAAAUAAGGUUUUUAAACACAUAUCAUCUUAAUGUUUUUUAUUUAACAUCCUUUUAUUUUCUCUUUUAAAAACCUUCAUAGGUUUUUAAGUGAACUACCUUGUAUUUAUGUGUUGUUUAUAGUGUACCAAUGUAAA